rnacentral:rRNA from 1 species
UAACCCAAAAGGUUAGUUCUAAAAAAAGUUGGUGAUAUGGUGAGGGGCAGUGGCAGACGGGUGAGUAACGCGUAGGAAUCUACCCCAAGGAAGAGCAUAGCCCCUCGAAAGAGGGGGUAAUUCUCUAUAUAUCGCAAGAUAAAAGGACUUAACGGUCCGCCAUGGGAGGAGCCUGCGUCCUAUCAGCUUGUUGGUUGGGUAAUGGCCGACCAAGGCAAUGACGGGUAGCUGGACUGAGAGGUCGAUCAGCCACAACUGCACUUAGACACGGGCAGUACACCUACGGGUGGCAGCAACCAGGAAUAUUGCGCAAUGGACGAAAGUCUGACGCAGCGACGCCGCGUGGAGGAUUAAGGCCUUAGGGUUGUAAACUCCUUUUGCUAAGCCGUUCACAGCUUAGAGAAUAAGCCCCUACUAACUACGUGCCAGAAGUCUCGGUAAUACGUAGGGGGCAAGCGUUAUCCGGAUUUAUUGGGCGUAAAGUGUGCGUAGGCUUUCCAUAAAGUCUGAUCUUAAAUACCAAGGCUUAACCUUGGAGCUGGAUUAGAUACUCAUGGAAUUGAGGAUUGAUCGGGGUGCUGGAACAGUUAAUGUAGCAGUGAAAUGCGUUGAUAUUAACUGGAACACCAAGGGCGAAGGCAGGCACCUGAAUUUUUCCUGACGCUGAGGCACGAAAGCUGGGGUAGCGAAACAGAUUAGAUACCUGUGUAGUCCUAGCCGUAAACUAUGUCUGCUAACUAUUAGUACUUUUGUGCUAGUGGUUUUAGCUAACGCGUUAAGCAGACCGCCUGGGGAGUACGGCCGCAAGGCUAAAACUCAAAGGAAUUGACGGGGACCCGCACAACUGGUGGAGCGUGUGGUUUAAUUCGAGACGAAGCGAAAACUUACCAGGCUUGAAACACUAC